rnacentral:rRNA from 1 species
GAGUUUGAUCAUGGCUCAGGAUGAACGCUAGCGGCAGGCUUAACACAUGCAAGUCGAACGAAGUAGCAAUACUUAGUGGCAGACGGGUGAGUAACAUGUAGGUAUCUACCCUUUGGCCUGGAAUAACACGAGGAAACUUGUGCUAAUACCGGAUAAGUCUUUACGGAGAAAGCUUUAUGCACCAUUGGAUGAGCCUGCACUUGAUUAGUUUGUUGGUGGGGUAAUGGCCUACCAAGACUGUGAUCAAUAGCUGAUUUGAGAGGAUGAUCAGCCACAUUGGGACUGAGACACGGCCCAAACUCCUACGGGAGGCAGCAGUGGGGAAUCUUGCACAAUGGAGGAAACUCUGAUGCAGCGAUGCCGCGUGAGUGAAGAAGGCCCUUGGGUUGUAAAGCUCUUUCGUCGGGGAAGAAAAUGACUGUACCCGAAUAAGAAGGUCCGGCUAACUUCGUGCCAGCAGCCGCGGUAAUACGAAGGGACCUAGCGUAGUUCGGAAUUACUGGGCUUAAAGAGUUCGUAGGUGGUUGAAAAAGUUGGUGGUGAAAUCCCAGAGCUUAACUCUGGAACUGCCAUCAAAACUUUUCAGCUAGAGUUUGAUAGAGGAAAGCAGAAUUUCUAGUGUAGAGGUGAAAUUCGUAGAUAUUAGAAAGAAUACCAAUUGCGAAGGCAGCUUUCUGGAUCAUUACUGACACUGAGGAACGAAAGCAUGGGUAGCGAAGAGGAUUAGAUACCCUCGUAGUCCAUGCCGUAAACGAUGUGUGUUAGACGUUGGAAAUUUAUUUUCAGUGUCGCAGCGAAAGCGA